rnacentral:rRNA from 1 species
GGAAUUUUGGACAAUGGGCGCAAGCCUGAUCCAGCCAUGCCGCGUGUCUGAAGAAGGCCUUCGGGUUGUAAAGGACUUUUGUCAGGGAAGAAAAGGAUAGGGUUAAUACCCCUGUCUGAUGACGGUACCUGAAGAAUAAGCACAGGCUAACUACGUGCCAGCAUCCGCGGUAAUACGUAGGGUGCGCGCGUUAAUCGGAAUUACUGGGCGUAAAGCGAGCGCAGACGGUUACUUAAGCAGGAUGUGAAAUCCCCGGGCUCAACCUGGGAACUGCGUUCUGAACUGGGUGACUAGAGUGUGUCAGAGGGAGGUAGAAUUCCACGUGUAGCAGUGAAAUGCGUAGAGAUGUGGAGGAAUACCGGUGGCGAAGGCAGCCUCCUGGGAUAACACUGACGUUCAUGCUCGAAAGCGUGGGUAGCAAAC